UGCUAAUACCGAAUGUUGUAUCGUUUCCGCAUGGAGAUGAUAUUAAAGAUGGCCUCUACUUGUAAGCUAUCGCUUUGCGAUGGGUCUGCGUCUGAUUAGCUAGUUGGUGGGGUAGCGGCCUACCAAGGCGACGAUCAGUAGCCGGUCUGAGAGGAUGAACGGCCACAUUGGAACUGAGACACGGUCCAGACUCUACGGGAGGCAGCAGUGGGGAAUCUUCCGCAAUGGGCGAAAGCCUGACGGAGCAACGCCGCGUGAGUGAAGAAGGGUUUCGGCUCGUAAAGCUCUGUUGACGGGGACGAAUGUGCGAAAUGCGAACAGUUUUUCGCAAUGACGGUACCCGUCGAGGAAGCCACGGCUAACUACGUGCCAGCAGCCGCGGUAAUACGUAGGUGGCGAGCGUUGUCCGGAAUUAUUGGGCGUAAAGGGAGCGCAGGCGGGAAGGCAAGUCAGUCUUAAACGUGCGGGGCUCAACCCCGUGAUGGGAUUGAAACUGUCUUUCUUGAGUGCAGGA
rnacentral:rRNA from 1 species